rfam:Triticum aestivum genome assembly, contig: Triticum_aestivum_CS42_TGACv1_scaffold_320718_4BL
UGUGUACUCCCUCCAUUCCAAAAUACUUGACUUCCAUUUGUCCAAAAAUGGAUGUACCUAUAUACUAAAACAUGUCUAGAUACAUAUAUAUUUUGACAAAUAGAAGGCAUGUAUUGUGCAACGGAGGGAGUAGAAU